rnacentral:lncRNA from 1 species
CCAGCCUCACCUCCUGGCAUACUGUGUGCUCUACCAUGUGGAGACCACCAGCUCUGCUUCAGUCCACAACCCAUCCGGCUGCCUUCUCAGGGAUCAGCAAGGUAGGGCUUCCAUCCCUAGAGGGGCCAGGCCUAUGAGAGUACCAGCUGUUAGUGAAGGACCACUCAACACUCUU